GUUCCCCAAAAACAAACCACUCAGUGCCGCUCAACAGCUCAAGCGAAGACGGUUGUGAAUUGUAGUAGGGAAGUUCGGUUCGUCGUCUGUAAUUUGUUUUGCAUCAAUUCAAUCCAAAAUGGCGGUUCGAUUCCUUAUCAUCAGAAUCCACGGUAGGAAACAUCCAGCAUCGAGUAUAGUGACCUAAAUCAACAUCAACCACGUGCGCACCGAUGCUUAUCAAUUGCCAACAGGAAUGCUUUUCCUGUUGGAAAUGCGCACAGCAAUACAAAAAUCAUAUUACGAUGACAGCCAGCCAAGCAAGAGACGCUCGCCCAAUCGGUCGAAAAUUAUUUAAACGUGACCAAAUGAAGAAAUGACAGCAACGACAACAACAACAACAACCACAACAGAAGAAGCAAAACACCCACAGUGACAUGCCCGGGACGCCGACAAAUGCGUAAAGCAAACUGACCGCCCGCAGCAGCACCCCUAAUGCGGAAAUCAUUAAGACAAGAUCUCUUGCCCGGGCCCGAAAAGGGGAAAAGCGAGAACGAAACAGCCCGGAAACAAUACAAUGCAACAAACACGAAAGCGAACCGAACCGAGCAGCAGAGAUUGCUCUGGGUUUUUUGUUCCAUUUCAUCCCGACGUCACCGACCGGAAGUCACCCACGGAAGUAGGUGCCCAGCCACAUAUGUUUUUUUUUUCUGUGUACGAUCGCGAUCUCGACGAUCUGUCAGCCAGGCUUGGUCAGAGAGAGAGAGUGUGGGCGAUACCGCACCGACGAGCGUAGUGUCAUAGCACCAGCAUCCCCCGCAGAAUUCUUUCCUCUUCGAUCAUUUAUCGCUUUUUUCUGCUUCUGAUGCUGCAACGGCGGAGAAAGAAGGGGGCGUCAGGCAUCUUUCUUUAUCUCUUUCGCUUUCCCUGUCAACGGCGUGUGUGUAGCUACGGAAUCAGUUUUGCCCCGUUCAAAUUGGGUGUCACUAGCAGUGGACAGACCAGACACAUUUUCUUCCAUAAACACACACACAAUUGCUAUUUCCGAGACAAAAAGUGUGUCUCUCGGUUCUGAUAAAUAUUGUGACAACAAUGGCAUUGCUGCAAAGCCACUCUGGGACGGUUUCUUCCAUUGGCGACCUAACCCGAUGACUCACAAUCCCGGGUGACAGCGCUAAAAGCCACAACCAUCACACUACUCACUACUCUGGCUGGCAUAUCUGGAGGACGGUGAUUACACUACAAUGGUGCACAACAUUGCUCGCUCGCUUUGUACAGAGAUCAACGGCACUACUAUAUGCUGCCCUGUCAACCCCGUGUGACGUCAGUCAGUGCGAGCUGCGGACUUCUCUAUUGUCAUUGGAACCGAGCAAUGUAAAGGGCCGACUAAACGGGGUAAACUGUUAUCAGGGCGAACAUGCUACCAACCGGGGCUACCUUGCGCUUCCGGUAGUUGUUAGUGUGUGUGUCGGUGAGAGAAAGAGUGUCGGCGUGACUACACAGCAUCUGUAUCUGAUUUCCCGGAAGAUGUACGUACACGCGCGGCCCGGCCGAACGAACUGGUUGCUGGUGGCAGAUGGUGGCGAUGGGUACACACAAGUAUACAAUUAGGACCUGCCAAUUAGAUAUCGGAGACACACGGGCACACACUCGGAGGGCUGCUGGUUGGGUUGAGUUUUUGUGGCGGAAGUGCUAGUGGAAGUGCUUUGGUGAUGAACCCGAGGGGCUGGAGUUUGGUUACGAUCAUCUCGGUUGCACUAAUCACAUUAGUAGUCGUUCACUAACCUGUUGAGCACGUCAAGGUCGAAGUUCUGACCGGGAGUAGCGCACCGAGUAGCACUCUUUUCAGAAUGUUAUGGAUGAAAUUUUGCAUAUGAAGCAAAGUUGCGUGUGUUCGGUUGAUUCAACACAAACUGAACAAAUGAUCACAAAUUAUUGGAGAAGAGUAUAACUUGGAAAUGACAAUUCUGGGCAGUAAAUUGCAAAAGCAGGAAUUACUAUGUAGAAGAUAGUAACCUAUUGUCAUGGGAAGUCAACCAGUUGUGUGUAAGAGCUAGGUGUUCUUGGGAUAUUGCAAAACGCAUCCUAUGCCAAAAAUAUCCUCCUACGCAUCCUAUGGUAAGGGUGAUGCUUAGCGAAUAAUUUUGCAAUUGGAUUUAAGGGUGGAUCGGAUCAUUAGUAUCUUUUCGGAUCGGAUCAUUAGUAUCUUUUCGGAUCGGAUCAUUAGUAUCAUCAGCAUUCAAAAACUGAAGAAAUUUAGGACAAAAAGGAGUUAUUUAUAUCGUAAGGCAGGUUGGUUGAAGUCCCCCUUUUGCUGCAGAAAAUUUGAUGAGGUUAAAUGUUAUUUAGAGUCGUCUCUCGAAGUCGAAAGAUGAACAAUGGGGCCCUUCACGAUUCUAGUCAGUUUUUUGUAUGAAGUUUGCCAGUUGGAGGCUGAAAUCAUGUAAACACUCCAUACAAAUCCACAGAUAAAACUUGCCUGAUAUUUUCAGUCUAGAUUAUUCUAGCUUUAAAGCUAGAAUUAGAUUCGAGUACCAGCUCGAAAACUCGGUGUUGUUUACAUUUACCCCAAGGUGCAUUAAAGAGUUCUGGUGGUGGAAUCCAGAAUCAAUAUGUAUGUAGUCCAGGUGGUCUCAUAGCAUGUUUUUUAUAAUCAAAUUUGAACAUCACUUUUGACAGGACGGAUGACAUCUUUUGCUCAAACAAGCUUUCUGGAGGCUUGACGAAUACACAAAACACUCUUAAUAUCUUCAUUCAGAAACAGAAGCGAUAAAAUUCAGCCUUCUAAAUUCAUAUACCUUGGGAUAAGCCCACCUGUAUAUUAUACCCACUCAGAUAGCUGCUCGAAAACUGCUAUACAAAGCAAACAGCUGACAGGCUGAAAUUUCAGCCUACGAGCUCAAAACGGAAAGGGCCCCAAUAUUUGUUUUUUGUUAAUAAUAAAGAAAAGGAACAAAAAUCGGCAUUUAAGUUUUUUGGAUGUUUAGCCCGGCUUUAGACGGGCUUCAGAAAAAUCGCUCGAAAUGAGUAAAACAAGAUUUUCUUUUCCUUCCAAUCUAAAAGGCAGUUCGCAACACUUCUACCUUUCAUAUA